CACGACACCAACACCAUCUACAACACUUUGUAAGUAAUGGAUUAGCGAUUGACCACAUCGUAGACAUAUGUCAUCAUAUGCUAGAUAAAUAUGUCAUCACAUGAUAUAUAUAUACCACACGAUACACCUUACAUAAUGAUUAAAUCCACAGAGUCAUUGUAUUCUAUACACACAUAUAUCAUCGCUUGUAGCCUAGUAACCUCACAAUUGGAUUUACAGAAAGGUCAUUGAUAUUUGUAACACGUCAUCAAGCAUAUAUAACAACAUUUUUCUUUUCUAAAAUAUUUUAGCUUCUGCAGUACCAAACGACUUUGU